rnacentral:lncRNA from 1 species
ACCGAGGUGAUAAGAUGACUCAGUUUCCUUUAAAAAAGCAGCGUUUAGAUCAUUUUUUAAAAAAGCAGAAUUGUACUCGUCUAACAUGUCUGACCUAAAACAAGAGAUCAACUACAUUUACGAAGUUGGAUACAAACAUGGGUAUGGAAGAUCCUUUUUGAGGCACAUUCACGAGGCAGUGAAACAAAGGACCCAGGACCAACAACUUAAUAGAACCCAUUUAGACCAGCAUUCAAGCUUUCUAUCGGUUCCGUACCGUUACUCUACCAUGCCGUUUACGAGAAAACUAGCCAGACAGACUGAUAAAAGAAUAACGGUUAAGAGAGCCCCUACG